rnacentral:rRNA from 1 species
AACGCUAGCUACAGGCUUAACACAUGCAAGUCGAGGGGCAGCACUAGGUAGCAAUACUGAGGUGGCGACCGGCGCACGGGUGCGUAACGCGUAUCCAACCUUCCCGUUACUCUUGGAUAGCCUUCCGAAAGGGAGAUUAAUACAAGAUGGUAUUCAAAUUCCGCAUGUUAUUUGAAUUAAAGAUUUAUCGGUAACGGAUGGGGAUGCGUGACAUUAGAUAGUAGGCGGGGUAACGGCCCACCUAGUCUACGAUGUCUAGGGGUUCUGAGAGGAAGGUCCCCCACACUGGAACUGAGACACGGUCCAGACUCCUACGGGAGGCAGCAGUGAGGAAUAUUGGUCAAUGGUCGGAAGACUGAACCAGCCAAGUAGCGUGAAGGAUGAAGGUUCUAUGGAUUGUAAACUUCUUUUAUACGGGAAUAAAACCUCCCACGUGUGGGAGCUUGUAUGUACCGUAUGAAUAAGCAUCGGCUAACUCCGUGCCAGCAGCCGCGGUAAUACGGAGGAUGCGAGCGUUAUCCGGAUUUAUUGGGUUUAAAGGGAGCGUAGACGGGAGAUUAAGUCAGUCGUGAAAGGCUGCGGCUCAACCGCAGCACUGCAGUUGAUACUGGUUUCCUUGAGUGCGGUUGAGGUGUAUGGAAUUCGUGGUGUAGCGGUGAAAUGCUUAGAUAUCACGAAGAACUCCGAUUG